AUACGGAGGGAGCAAGCGUUGUUCGGAUUUACUGGGCGUAAAGCGUACGUAGGUGGCACAGCAAGUCGGGAGUGAAAUCCCACGGCUCAACCGUGGAAGUGCUUUCGAAACUGCUGUGCUAGAGGAUGAGAGGGGAAGGCGGAAUUCCAGGUGUAGCGGUGAAAUGCACAGAUAUCUGGAGGAACACCGGUGGCGAAGGCGGCCUUCUGGAUCAUACCUGACACUGAGGUACGAAAGCGUGGGGAGCGAACAGGAUUAGAUACCCCAGUAGUCC
rnacentral:rRNA from 1 species